ensembl:lncRNA
GGGAGGAGUGAGUCAUUUGAAGACAAGCAGUAUCUUCAUAUUUUCUCUUCAAUGUCUGAGUAGAUUUUGAAUAAAGAAAACCAAUGACUUUGUUAGAAACUAUGCUUGAUUUUUAAGUACAUAUUUCAGAAAAUACCAAAGUCCCAGGGGAAACCACAGGCCUAGCACCAGCCAAUAGCAUGACCACUGCCAACCUCCGGGGCUCCCAAGCCAGACCCUCCCUCCCAUGGGGGCAGCAGAUGAAGACGACCUCCCCCUCUCCAACAAACGGAAGAUGUCAACUACUUGACCACCAAGAGCACACAGCCCCAGGCCUGUGCCCUGGAGCCUAAGGACUGAUAAUGUUCACCCCUGAGACACCACUCUGCUACCUCACCAUCAGCCAAUCAGAGAUCUGCUACCUCAGUUCCAUUCAGUUGCUCACUCGUGUCCGACUC